ensembl:lncRNA
GGAAUGUGCUGUUGGGAGCUGGGGCCCGUGCUUGCAGGGUGUAUCUCUCGCUGGCACCUCCCCUGGGUUGUACUUCUCUUUACCCUGAAGCAGGAAGCUCUGGUCCUCCACAGCCUUCCACCAUGAUAUUCCUGCCUUAGAGCCAGCAAGCCAUGGACUCAAACCUCUGAAACUAUUGGACCCUGCCUCAACAGUCUCCAUCUCCUGCUUUAUUUUCUGUUUGACUUCGGAUUUUGUUUUCAGAUAUGGAACCAAAUGAGAUGUGAUAUUGACCAUUCACUACUGUUUCUGGGAAGUGGAACUCAUGCAGUGAUGUGAGCACUGGGGAGCAGCUGUAAAUACAGUUGAAGCUUUGGCUGAAGCUAAUGUCCUGCUGUGCCUGGUUCCUAACAGACUGUGGACUGGUACUGAUGUGUGGGUCCAGGGUUGGGGACCCUUUGCAUGAAACGAUAACUCACCUCUUCUCUCAGGUUCUGAUAAUUUCUGUUCUUUCUGUCUCUGAAUUUGCAUAUUGUAGACCCUUCAUGAAAGUAGAGUCAUAAUACUUGCCCUCCAGUGUCUGGCUUAUUUCAUUAAGUGUGUUUUCAAGGGUCACUUUUGGUUGGGGGUGUAGUUCAGUGGUAUAACACAUGUUUAGCAUGCACAAAUCCCUGUGUUCACUUCCCAGCACCAAAAAUAAAAAGUUGAUCUGAAUUGUAGUAUCAGAAUUUCAUUUCUUUUUAGGACUGAA